rnacentral:rRNA from 1 species
UAGGGAAUCUUCCACAAUGGGCGAAAGCCUGAUGGAGCAACGCCGCGUGUGUGAUGAAGGCUUUCGGUCGUAAAGCACUGUUGUAUGGGAAGAACAGCUAGAAUAGGAAAUGAUUUUAGUUUGACGGUACCAUACCAGAAAGGGACGGCUAAAUACGUGCCAA